rnacentral:rRNA from 1 species
UACGGGGGGGGGCAAGCGUUGUUCGGAAUUACUGGGCGUAAAGGGCUCGUAGGCGGCCAACUAAGUCAGACGUGAAAUCCCCGGGCUCAACCCGGGAACUGCGUCCGAUACUGGAAGGCUUGAAUCCGGGAGAGGGAUGCGGAAUUCCAGGUGUAGCGGUGAAAUGCGUAGAUAUCGAGAGGAACACCAGUGGCGAAGGCGGCUCACUGGUCCGGUACUGACGCUGAGGUGCGAAAGCGUGGGGAGCAAACAGG